rnacentral:rRNA from 1 species
CACGUAGGGUGCGAGCGUUGUCCGGAAUUAUUGGGCGUAAAGAGCUCGUAGGCGGUGUGUCGCGUCGGCCGUGAAAACCUGCAGCUUAACUGUGGGCCUGCGGUCGAUACGGGCAUCACUGGAGUUCGGCAGGGGAGACUGGAAUUCCUGGUGUAGCGGUGAAAUGCGCAGAUAUCAGGAAGAACACCCGUGGCGAAGGCGGCUCUCUGGGACGGUACUGACGCUGAGACGCGAAAGCGUGGGGAGCGAACAGG